UUCCUCAUGGCCCAAUGGUCAAGGCGUCUGGCUACGAUUAGUAACCACUUCUGUUGGAACCAGAAGAUUCCAGGUUCGACUCCUGGUGGGGAAGC
rnacentral:tRNA from 1 species